UGGCAGGGAGGGACGCCGGAGGAGGAAGCAGGUGUGUGGAGGGGUCUCAUCCAGGCCUCAGGCUCCACCCAGCCCAGGAUCUCCCUCCAGGAUGUGCUGCGUCCCACCCCCAGGCCCACACAACUCAGAAACACCAGUCAACAAACCACUGAGGAGGGGCAGGUGCCGGGUGCACCAGGGACCGGCUGUGCAGGAGGCAAUUUAGGAUGAGAACCAGGGAAAACACGUCCCCAGCCAACUGGCCGCUGGGCCCAUGUUCUUCACAACGGAAACUGGAUCCGCACAGUCCAUGGAGACUCACAAAACAGCAUGACGUCACCCGCAGGGAGUAGUCAUUUCAGACACCUUCGCGGCCUUUUGUUCUAGAGCUAAGGGCUGUGACUCGCCUGUGGAGGUCGUCCUGCCCGCAGAGGAGGGGCUGGGGAGGGCCGGCCUGCUGGGUGGCGGCAGGGGGACUGGACAGCAGGCCGUGGUAGGAGGUCGCUGUGCUUCCUCUCCAACUGCGGAGCCGGCGGUGCGGCUCCGUGACACAGCUGUGACCGGGACAGCCCACCUGUCAGGGACACUGCCUUCUGUGUCCCUUCCCUUUGGGCCUCUGAUGCUCAGAGACGGCGGAGAGCACUGCCCCGCAGGGCAGAUGGCCUGGAUUCAGCCUGUCGGGCGUGCAAAGCUCCGGAGCCUGUUUCCUCCUCUGUAAACGUGGGGAGGGCGAACAAACUCCCAGCUCUGUGACCCU